AGGAAUGUGUCCAGAGGUGGGGGACAACCUUGGGAAACUGAGGCUAAUACCGCAUAUGAGCUGAGGCUCAAAGCAGCGAUGCGCCUUUGGAGUAGCCUGCGUCCGAUUAGCUAGUUGGUGGGGUAAAGGCCUACCAAGGCGACGAUCGGUAGCUGGUCUGAGAGGACGACCAGCCACACUGGGACUGAGACACGGCCCAGACUCCUACGGGAGGCAGCAGUGGGGAAUAUUGGACAAUGGGCGCAAGCCUGAUCCAGCAAUGCCGCGUGUGUGAAGAAGGUCUUCGGAUCGUAAAGCACUUUCGACGGGGACGAUGAUGACGGUACCCGUAGAAGAAGCCCCGGCUAACUUCGUGCCAGCAGCCGCGGUAAUACGAAGGGGGCUAGCGUUACUCGGAAUUACUGGGCGUAAAGGGCGCGUAGGCGGCGCUCCAAGUUAGGCGUGAAAGUCCUGGGCUCAACCUGGGAACUGCGCUUGAUACUGGAGUGCUUGAGGAUGGAAGAGGGUUGUGGAAUUCCCAGU
rnacentral:rRNA from 1 species